rnacentral:lncRNA from 10 species
UGUUGUUUAUUUUUGGAUUCUCAGUGAUUGUCAAAUUUAUAUUUGUUGAAGGAACCUUAAUCCAAGACUUGGACUCCAGUGGAGCCCACAGUGACCAUCUCCCCAUCCAGGACAGAGGCCCUCAACCACCACAACCUGCUGGUCUGCUCGGUGACAGAUUUCUAUCCAGCCCAGAUCAAAGUCCGGUGGUUUCGGAAUGACCAGGAGGAGACAGCCGGU